rnacentral:lncRNA from 1 species
UUUUCUUUUGAGAGGUUGUAAGUAGAAUAUUAUAUCAAUGAAUUGGUUUGUAUUUAUGAUGAUUGUGUUUGUUUUUUUUUUGUAUUUUUAUUUAUUUGUUGAGGGGUCGACUCUUUUAUAGAGAAAAAUAUUUGAAAUGUCAUUUUUUAAGUAAUCGAUCGGAAAUAUUGUUUUCGAUGUGUUUAUGCUAUAUUUUAGUUUUAGGUUUUUGUCUCCUUACUUUGAGGAGAGCACAUUUGGGUUCACGAAGUAUUGGCCAGAAUGUCUAGGUCUAUCAAGUAAACGUUUUAUCAUUCAGCCUUGGUGGAGUUUGAAUC